UUUUUCCCUCUCCUCACACCCUGAGCAGAGCAACCAACAGUUGUUGCCGUCUCCUUGGCCCUCGGCCCAGCCUCUUGGACUUCUGGUUCCCAUGCCACCUGCUGGGUCUAGUCCUGCUGGAAUACCACCAGGUGUCCCAACCACCCAUCCCCGUGCCUUAAGACUCUUGCUGUGGCCGCCCCAAGACCCGGGCUGAAUCCCCCACCCCUUGCUCGGUCACUCACUGUCCUCGUCGCACAAGGCACAGCCGCGACUCACCCCUGAAGAUGUCUGACUCCUGACAAAUGGCCACGAGCAGAUAAGGCAAGACAUUUUCUUCGAGCCCGCUUCCCUUUAACUCAUACUGGCAGAUCUAUAAUGAAGACCCAGCAGAACCUUAUCACCAAUUCAGAAAAGAACACAAGAUCCUAAUGGAAGGCCUGCCAUCCAGAGCUAGUCCAGAAGGUGUGACUGAAGUGCAUCAGAGCAUCCGGAGCAUCCGUUUCAAGGGCAGCCAUGGACACUGAGGCAAGGAACCAAUUUAAUAUAUUUUAUGUAAAGCAAUGAUUUAACCCUUGUGUAAAUCAAAAGGCAAUGCAGGGCCCAGCUCAAUGGGUUUUCUGUGCACAUUGGGGA